rnacentral:rRNA from 1 species
UGGGGAAUAUUGCACAAUGGGCGCAAGCCUGAUGCAGCCAUGCCGCGUGUAUGAAGAAGGCCUUCGGGUUGUAAAGUACUUUCAGCGAGGAGGAAGGCGUUGUGGUUAAUAACCGCAACGAUUGACGUUACUCGCAGAAGAAGCACCGGCUAACUCCGUGCCAGCAGCCGCGGUAAUACGGAGGGUGCAAGCGUUAAUCGGAAUUACUGGGCGUAAAGCGCACGCGGGCGGUCUGUCAAGUCGGAUGUGAAAUCCCCGGGCUCAACCUGGGAACUGCAUCCGAAACUGGCAGGCUAGAGUCUUGUAGAGGGGGGUAGAAUUCCAGGUGUAGCGGUGAAAUGCGUAGAGAUCUGGAGGAAUACCGGUGGCGAAGGCGGCCCCCUGGACAAAGACUGACGCUCAGGUGCGAAAGCGUGGGGAGCAAACA